UGCCCCGUCUUGGAAAGAUAGCAAGAAUUCUUGGACCACGUGGUUUGAUGCCAAACCCUAAACUAGUUUCAGUGACCAGUGAUGUUACUGGGGCAGUGCAAGAGGCGAGACAUGG